rnacentral:rRNA from 1 species
GUGAGGAAUAUUGCGCAAUGGGCGAAAGCCUGACGCAGCGACGCCGCGUGGAGGAUGAAGGUCUUCGGAUUGUAAACUUCUGUUAAGUGGGAAGAAAGGGCUGUUUUUAAUAGAAGCAGUUAAUGACGGUACCAUUAAAGAAAGCACCGGCUAAACUCGUGCCAGCAGCCGCGGUAAUACGAGUGGUGCAAGCGUUAUUCGGAAUAAUUGGGCGUACAGGGUGUGUAGGCGGUAUGUUAAGUCUGUUGUUAAAGACUCCGGCCUAACCGGAGACAGGCAGCGGAAACUGGCGUACUAGAGGGUGGAAGAGAGAAGUGGAAUUCUCGGUGUAGCGGUAAAAUGCGUAGAUAUCGAGAGGAACACCGAUGGCGAAGGCAGCUUCUUGGUCCAUACCUGACGCUGAAACACGAAAGCGUGGGGAGCAAACAGGAUUAGAAACCCGGGUAGUCC